rnacentral:rRNA from 1 species
UACGUAGGGUCCGAGCGUUGUCCGGAGUUACUGGGCGUAAAGCGCGCGCAGGCGGCGGUGCUGGCCCGGCGUGAAAGCCCCCGGCUCAACCGGGGAGAGUCGUCGGGGACCGCACCGCUUGAGGGCGGUAGGGGCUGGUGGAAUGCCUGGUGUAGUGGUGAAAUGCGCAGAUAUCAGGAGGAACACCGGUGGCGAAGGCGGAUCUCUGGGCCAUUACUGACGCUGAGGAGCGAAAGCAUGGGGAGCGAACAGG